UUCCCUCGAUCGAAAAGCGAUGCACUUUCCCCAUAGACUUUAGGAAAAUCGCCAAAAAUAAGAUCUGCGUUUAACAAAGAGUUGUGACCCUUACACGUUUUGUCUAUCAAGAUAAUCUUUACAAGUUAAUCCAAAAUGUAUACAUUUUGAAGCCUAUAUAAAUUUAAAAAAAAAACACAAGCAAGUUAUAACUGUGUGUUCUAUGUCAUAGAUCAAAACGUGAAAAUAUUUAGAGGCUUUGU